ACUAGAAUUUGUACUUUUACUAAGAAAGUGGAGGUGAAGUCGCGGUGGCUGGGCGGGUUAGGCGGCUGGCUUUGUGUGCUAGCGAUUACGUGCUUGACUCUGAGGGUGUGGGUUCGAAUCCCAGAUGGGAUUCAACCCAACAAUAGGACUAGAAUUUGUACUUUACUAAGAAAG